AUCCCCUGACAACGGGCAAAGAAACACCUCAUUGGUGGUGGUGGUCUUGUAUCAAUCAGGAACAGAACAGAGAUGCACGUCCCUUGUUCAUCCUAACUUGAUGCCUGGCUUGGUGGACAAAGCUGUUUCAUGCGUGGGGCACAAUC